rnacentral:rRNA from 1 species
CGAACGGGCUCUUCGGAGCUAGUGGCAGACGGGUGAGUAACGCGUGGGAACGUGCCUUUCGGUUCGGAAUAACUCAGGGAAACUUGAACUAAUACCGGAUACGCCCUUCGGGGGAAAGAUUUAUCGCCGAAAGAUCGGCCCGCGUCUGAUUAGCUAGUUGGUGAGGUAAUGGCUCACCAAGGCGACGAUCAGUAGCUGGUCUGAGAGGAUGAUCAGCCACAUUGGGACUGAGACACGGCCCAAACUCCUACGGGAGGCAGCAGCC